rnacentral:lncRNA from 1 species
ACGUGUCCAGACCCGCCAUACGUCUAAAACAUAUAAGGCGUCUAUAAAACAACGGUAAAUAAAGCAAUAAUAAAAGACAUCUAGGAGUAUCAGAGCAUAGUACAGUAUCUAGAUUCUAUAAGAGGAAACAAGUAAAGGAGCUAACAUCCACCAUAAGUAAAUCAAAGGUAGUACAAUAGAAAUCCCAAAACAAGUGCUAUAAGUAAAUACAUAGGUGGUCUCUAUACAUGGAUACAAAACCUCACUCUCUCUCAACAACAACAAAAAGAGAGAAAACCACCUAAGCAACAAUAAAUCCUCGCUAUCUAGCUAGCGAUCCCCUUGCCGCGAUCCCGUGCCUCCGCCGGUGCAGAGGGCUCUGAAAGAAAAAUCAUAAAACAAGGGGCCUGAGAACUAUUAAAUAAUAGUUCCCAGUGGGCAAUUACUGACUUCAGUGAAAGCACCACUAGGCCCAAAAGAGCUAAACAGGUAAGUAACAAUAAAAACAAUAGAAUCGAUAUGUAAGUAAACAUGUAAACUUACUACAACAUGAUAUCU